rnacentral:rRNA from 1 species
CCUAUGGGAGGCAGCAGUGGGGAAUAUUGCACAAUGGGGGAAACCCUGAUGCAGCGACGCCGCGUGAGUGAAGAAGUCUUUCCGUAUGUAAAGCUCUAUCAGCAGGAACGCGACAAGCCGGUACCGGACUAAGACGCCCCGGCUAACUACGUGCCAGCAGCCGCGGUCAUACGUAGGGGGCAAGCUUUAUCCGGAAUCACUGGGUGUAAAGGGAGCGUAGACGGCUGUGCAAGUCUGAAGUGAAAGGCGGGGGCCCAACCCCGGGACUGCUGUGGGAACUGUAGGGCUGGAGUGCAGGAGAGGUAAGUGGAAUUCGUAGUGUAGCGGUGAAAUGCGUAGAUAUUAGGCGGAACACCAGUGGCGAAGGCGGCUUACUGGACUGUAACUGACGUUGAGGCUCGAAAGCGUGGGGAGCGAACAGGAUUAGAUACCCUUGUAGUC